GCUCUUGCAUUUUUGCUUCCGCUAGUUGAAGCUUUGCUACGUUUUCUGGAAUCGGAGCUUCUCUUACACGUGCUUGCCGUCUAGAGACUUCCGUUGCCU
rnacentral:sRNA from 1 species